UAUAAUACUGAUUAAAUUAACCAGGUACUCCAUAUAUACAAACACUUUAUACGUAUAUAUAUAUAUAAAUAUAUAGCUAAGCAAUGUAAUUUAGUGAUAAAUGAAUUAAUUAACUAUGUCAUAUAUACACUAUUUAUAUAUAUAUUUGUUGUCUAUUUAUUUCUAUCUCAAGUUUUUGUUGUGUUCCUUAGUUUUUGUGCAAAGGCUAGUUUUAGAGCAGUAAAUUGUUUUUAAUUAUCACUGUCUUUAUAUAUUUUGUAUGUAUGAAUUAUAUAUAUGGCUAAGUAAAGUGACUUAUAUAAUAAUUUAUUUAGAUAAUAUAUUAUGCUUAUUUGAAUUUAAGUUGUAGUCAGUAAGUCAUGUAAUGGAUUCACAAAAUGAACUAAUUCCUUGAUGUUUUUCCUAAACUAAUUCUUUCUUAAUUUUUGUAGGGUUUAGUUGAUGUUGUGGCUAACAUCCCAGAUGUAUCACGACAUUUUUGUUGUUUUCAUUUGGAGAACAACAUGGUGAAAAAAUUUGGCGCAUCAGAACUUAAAGUACUAUUUUGGGUAGCAGCUGAGACAGCAAAUUUUGAUAAUUUCAAGCAUAUAAUGGAUUGUAUAAAGGCAGUCAAUAAAGAAGCACAUGAGUGGUUGAGUAAUAUUGACUUCAACCAUUGGUGCAUGAGCAAAUUUGAUACAAAUGUUAAGCAUACCUCAAUGAUGUAUACAAGGAAUUGACAACAGAUAGAUGGCAUCACAAGUUAACUCCAAAAGCACACUUGAAAGUUCAAGAAAUCCAAAAAAAGAGCACGUUUUGCACGUGUAGCAAAGGUUAUUAAUCUUGAAUUUCAGGUUGAUUAUGCUGGAAAAAGGUGUAUUGUGCGACUGAAUGAAGGAUAUUGUAUAUGUGGCCAAUGGCAAGUGAGGGGAUUACCUUGUAUUCAUGCAACUACUUGUAUAAACACUAUAAGGGCAGACAUUUUUAAUUAUUGUUCGCCAUACUUCACUACUGAAAUGUGGAGGAAGAGUUUUCAAAAAGCUAUUCAUCCUAUACCUGAUGAAUCGAUGUGGCCUGAGUUUGAUGAUGAGAAAUUACUACCGCUAAUAAUAAAAAAAACUUCUAGGUAGACCUAAAAAACAUCGUAGAAGAAGAGUUGCAGGAGAGGAGAGGCCUUUACCUCUUGAAGUUC